GGUUUAAGCGUGUAGGUGUGUGUUCCAGGUAAAUCCGGUUCACUUUAACACUGAGGCGUGACGACGAGGCACUACGGUGCUGAAGCAACAAAUGCCCUGCUUCCAGGAAAAGCCUCUAAGCAUCAGGUAACAUCAAAUCGUACCCCAAACCGACACAGGUGGUCAGGUAGAGAAUACCAAGGCGCUUGAGAGAACUCGGGUGAAGGAACUAGGCAAAAUGGUGCCGUAACUUCGGGAGAAGGCACGCUGACACGUAGGUGAAGUGAUUUACUCAUGGAGCUGAAGUCAGUCGAAGAUACCAGCUGGCUGCAACUGUUUAUUAAAAACACAGCACUGUGCAAACACGAAAGUGGACGUAUACGGUGUGACGCCUGCCCGGUGCCGGAAGGUUAAUUGAUGGGGUCAGCGCAAGCGAAGCUCCUGAUCGAAGCCCCGGUAAACGGCGGCCGUAACUAUAACGGUCCUAAGGUAGCGAAAUUCCUUGUCGGGUAAGUUCCGACCUGCACGAAUGGCGUAAUGAUGGCCAGGCUGUCUCCACCCGAGACUCAGUGAAAUUGAACUCGCUGUGAAGAUGCAGUGUACCCGCGGCAAGACGGAAAGACCCCGUGAACCUUUACUAUAGCUUGACACUGAACAUUGAGCCUUGAUGUGUAGGAUAGGUGGGAGGCUUUGAAGUGUGGACGCCAGUCUGCAUGGAGCCGACCUUGAAAUACCACCCUUUAAUGUUUGAUGUUCUAACGUGGACCCGUUACCCGGGUUGCGGACAGUGUCUGGUGGGUAGUUUGACUGGGGCGGUCUCCUCCUAAAGAGUAACGGAGGAGCACGAAGGUUGGCUAAUCCUGGUCGGACAUCAGGAGGUUAGUGCAAUGGCAUAAGCCAGCUUGACUGCGAGCGUGACGGCGCGAGCAGGUGCGAAAGCAGGUCAUAGUGAUCCGGUGGUUCUGAAUGGAAGGGCCAUCGCUCAACGGAUAAAAGGUACUCCGGGGAUAACAGGCUGAUACCGCCCAAGAGUUCAUAUCGACGGCGGUGUUUGGCACCUCGAUGUCGGCUCAUCACAUCCUGGGGCUGAAGUAGGUCCCAAGGGUAUGGCUGUUCGCCAUUUAAAGUGGUACGCGAGCUGGGUUUAGAACGUCGUGAGACAGUUCGGUCCCUAUCUGCCGUGGGCGCUGGAGAACUGAGGGGGGCUGCUCCUAGUACGAGAGGACCGGAGUGGACGCAUCACUGGUGUUCGGGUUGUCAUGCCAAUGGCACUGCCCGGUAGCUAAAUGCGGAAGAGAUAAGUGCUGAAAGCAUCUAAGCACGAAACUUGCCCCGAGAUGAGUUCUCCCUGAGACUUUAGGUCUCCUGAAGGAACGUUGAAGACGACGACGUUGAUAGGCCGGGUGUGUAAGCGCAGCGAUGCGUUGAGCUAACCGGUACUAAUGAACCGUGAGGCUUAACCUUACAACGCCG
rnacentral:rRNA from 1 species